CAAGAUCUACAUGCAGAUGCUACUGUGUCCCGACACGUCUGUUAGCUUCGCCUGUAAGCAGGCCCUGAUCCGAGUACUCCGACCCAGGAACAAACGCCGUCACGUGACUCUUCCUUCUCCCCCCUCGCUCCAACACACCCAUGGGAGACAAAGACGAUGAUGAUGAGGAUGAUGUUGAUGACAAGAUGCAGCCGUCGGGGCUGACGGGAGGAGAGGGGGGCAGGCAGGAGAGUCAGGAGCAGGGUGAGGUCGACCAUGGCGACUUUGAGAUGGUGGUGAGUCUCUUUGAGAUGGUGGUGAGUCUGGUCCAAUCGCUAGUGUCCACUCCUCCUCACCCACUCCUCAUACACACUAUAGUAAUCUAGUCCACUCCUCAUACACACUGUAGUAAUCUAGUGUCCACUCGUCAUACACACUCCUCAUACACACUGUAGUAAUCUAGUCCACUCCUCAUACACACUGUAGUAAUCUAGUCCACUCCUCAUACACACUGUAGUAAUCUAGUGUCCACUCCUCAUACACACUCUAGUAAUCUAGGGUCCACUCCUCAUACACACUCCUCAUACACACUGUAGUAAUCUAGUCCACUCCUCAUACACACUGUAGUAAUCUAGUGUCCACUCCUCAUACACACUGUAGUAAUCUAGUAUCCACUCGUCAUACACACUCCUCAUACACACUGUAGUAAUCUAGUCCACUCCUCAUACACACUGUAGUAAUCUAGUGUCCACUCGUCAUACACACUCCUCAUACACACUGUAGUAAUCUAGUGUCCACUCCUCAUACACACU